rnacentral:rRNA from 1 species
UAGGGAAUCUUCGGCAAUGGACGGAAGUCUGACCGAGCAACGCCGCGUGAGUGAAGAAGGUUUUCGGAUCGUAAAGCUCUGUUGUAAGAGAAGAACGAGUGUGAGAGUGGAAAGUUCACACUGUGACGGUAACUUACCAGAAAGGGACGGCUAACUACGUGCCAGCAGCCGCGGUAAUACGUAGGUCCCGAGCGUUAUCCGGAUUUAUUGGGCGUAAAGCGAGCGCAGGCGGUUAGAUAAGUCUGAAGUUAAAGGCUGUGGCUUAACCAUAGUACGCUUUGGAAACUGUUUAACUUGAGUGCAGAAGGGGAGAGUGGAAUUCCAUGUGUAGCGGUGAAAUGCGUAGAUAUAUGGAGGAACACCGGUGGCGAAAGCGGCUCUCUGGUCUGUAACUGACGCUGAGGCUCGAAAGCGUGGGGAGCAAACAGG